ACUAAAACUAUUCUAAACUACAUUUAAGGAGACAGGAUGGAGUUAUGUUCACAUUAGAAAAAAAGAUGAUUUUGAUAAAAACAAUUGCUCUUUAAACUACCUCACAUUGUUUGGUUGUUUUUUUGAGAUAAUAGACAUUGAAACUAGUAUAGAACAUUUCCAUCUUAAUCCACCUGUGAUAUAGAUUGUAUAGCUUAGGGAUAAUUUAAGAUAGUAAUAAUAACUGCGGCAGAUAAUCGUAUUUUUGCUAUUAACAGGGCAUUGAGCAAGUGCAGCAAAGUAGAGGGCUGCAAGAAAUAGAAGAGUCACUCAGGAGUCAUGGAGUGCUGUUGGAAGUUCAAUACUCUUCUUCAAUACAUGACCGAGAAAUUAGGUUCAACAAUGGAUGGAUGAUUAAGAUUGGAAGGGGACUUGAUUAUUUUAAGAAACCACAGGUAUGAUAUAAUCUUAUGAAUAAUGUGUAGCACUGUUUUUGUAUCAUUUUUAAUGAUACUCUUUUCUUCUCUUCUUAGAGUCGUUUUUCCCUUGGAUAUUGUGAUUUUGAUUUAAGACCAUGUCAUGAAACAACAGUGGACAUUUUUCAUAAGAAGCAUACAAAAAAUAUAUGAUGGGUGGUAGCCUAAUUUGUAUUAUGUCUACUUUAAGUGAAUAUUGGAUUUUUUUAAAAGAUCACUUUUAUAAUGUAUGAAUUUAACAAUAAACUUUUAUAUUUCUAC
rnacentral:sRNA from 1 species